rnacentral:tRNA from 1 species
GGAAGGGCAUCGUCUCCGGUGGGGCGGCCGGGCUUCAAACCCGGUUGGGGGUGUCAGACGCUCCCGGGUGGGUUCGACUCCCGCACCCUUCCGCCA